GUAGGGAAUCUUCGGCAAUGGGGGGAACCCUGACCGAGCAACGCCGCGUGAGUGAAGAAGGUUUUCGGAUCGUAAAGCUCUGUUGUUAAGGAAGAACGGUAAUGGGAGUGGAAAGUCCAUUACGUGACGGUACUUAACCAGAAAGGGACGGCUAACUACGUGCCAGCAGCCGCGGUAAUACGUAGGUCCCGAGCGUUGUCCGGAUUUAUUGGGCGUAAAGCGAGCGCAGGCGGCUCUAUAAGUCUGAAGUGAAAGGCUAUGGCUCAACCAUAGUAUGCUUUGGAAACUGUAGGGCUUGAGUGCAGAAGGGGAGAGUGGAAUUCCAUGUGUAGCGGUGAAAUGCGUAGAUAUAUGGAGGAACACCGGUGGCGAAAGCGGCUCUCUGGUCUGUGACUGACGCUGAGGCUCGAAAGCGUGGGUAGCGAACAGGAUUAGAAACCCUAGUAGUCCC
rnacentral:rRNA from 1 species